rnacentral:rRNA from 1 species
AUGCCACCUUCCGUGCAUGACACGGAAGGCCUGCUGUUCUUGAAGCAUGGUUAUGUCUUCAUUGCGCACCGCCGGAUGAACGACAUGCUGGGACACGCUAUCCCCGAUUUAUGCCGCUUCAGCUUGGAUGAGUCUCCAUCCCGCACACCAUUUACCCCCGCUCACUGCUCGCCCGCCCGCGCCAUCUUCCUUGGUAGCUCGCGCAUACCAUAUCCCCCCGCUCACUGCUCAGCCACACGAGGAGAAGCUUCUUUGCUCGCCUGCCCGAAUCCACUUCCCCCAGACGCAAAUGCGCUGGCCUUCAUGAUUCCAGGACCUGGAAUCAUACUAGCAGAUGGUUUGAAGCACUCAUCUGGUUUGAAGGAUAGUAGAUACCUUCCUGGGAUCAAGUGCAUCCUAACUCACCUGCUACCAUAUUACUGGAAUUACCGAUGCAAGUCGAAGAAGGAUUGGCUGGUGCUGCCGGCUGGCGUCAAGUUCGAUCCCAUGGAUCAUGAGCUGAUCGAGCACCUUGAGGCCAAAGUGAGUGCUGACAGUGCGAGAUUUCAGUCUCUCAUCGAUUUGUUCAUACCAACCAUCGACAGCGAGCACAGCAUAUGCUACACCCAACCUGAGAAACUUCCAGCAAAAAAGGUUCUGGUGCUGCACAUCAACAAGAACUUCGACCAGCAGAGGACCAACUGGGUGAUGCACCAGUACCACCUUGGGGACCUGGAGCAAGAGAAGGAGAGGGAGCUGGUCCUCUGCAAGAUUUUCUACCAUACGAACAUUAGGGCCAGGAGUAAAAAGAUUAUAAGUCGAGCAAGUUUCAACUGGGCUGUAGACUGCCCAGGGUUGGUUUUGUUUUUACUAGGCCCAACCCAUGACGACAACGGGGCACAAAGAUCCAGCAGGAAUCCAUGCCAGGCAAACUGCGUCGAGUCUGGUUUCGCCGCCACCGUCCACCUCUCUCAGUGCGCCACCGCCGGCCCCCUCCACCAGCGCGUCACCGAGCGCCCCCUGCACGACACAACUCCGUCUACACCAUGUCUUGGAGAUGCUCCAACAGCUCCUCGUCCUCCCUCCAGUACAAAUGCACAUUUUUCUAUAGUACAUGACUUGGGCACGAGCUCGUCCAACAGGGGUGCUAGCAACCGUCCAAGUGGAGCGUUGAAAACAGUACGAGUAGAAUCACGGGUCGCGGCCACCAACUUCACCAAGUGCUGCACAUCCGUCCAAGUCGAGCACACACACAGGGAGAACACCAGCGCCUUUGCUUUGCACAUUGCUUGGUAA